rnacentral:rRNA from 1 species
GAUCAUGGCUCAGGACGAACGCCGGCGGCGCGCCUAACACAUGCAAGUCGAACGAGAGAGAAGGAGCUUGCUUCUUCGAUCGAGUGGCGAACGGGUGAGUAACGCGUGAGGAACCUGCCUCAAAGAGGGGGACAACAGUUGGAAACGACUGCUAAUACCGCAUAAGCCCACGGGUCGGCAUCGAUCUGAGGGAAAAGGAGCAAUCCGCUUUGAGAUGGCCUCGCGUCCGAUUAG